GACGAACGCUGGCGGCGUGCUUAACACAUGCAAGUCGAACGGAAAGGCCCUGCUUUUGUGGGGUGCUCGAGUGGCGAACGGGUGAGUAACACGUGAGUAACCUGCCCUUGACUUUGGGAUAACUUCAGGAAACUGGGGCUAAUACCGGAUAGGAGCUCCUGCUGCAUGGUGGGGGUUGGAAAGUUUCGGCGGUUGGGGAUGGACUCGCGGCUUAUCCGCUUGUUGGUGGGGUAGUGGCUUACCAAGGCUUUGACGGGUAGCCGGCCUGAGAGGGUGACCGGCGACAUUGGGACUGAGAUACGGCCCAGACUCCUACGGGAGGCAGCAGGGGGGAAUAUUGCACAGUGGGCGGGAGCGUGAUGCAGCAACGCCGCGUGCGGGAUGACGGCCUUCGGGUUGUAAACCGCUUUCGCCUGUGACGAAGCGUGAGUGACGGUAAUGGGUAAAGAAGCACCGGCUAACUACGUG
rnacentral:rRNA from 1 species